rnacentral:rRNA from 1 species
GACGAACGCUGGCGGCGUGCUUAACACAUGCAAGUCGAACGGAAAGGCCCUGCUUUUGUGGGGUGCUCGAGUGGCGAACGGGUGAGUAACACGUGAGUAACCUGCCCUUGACUUUGGGAUAACUUCAGGAAACUGGGGCUAAUACCGGAUAGGAGCUCCUGCUGCAUGGUGGGGGUUGGAAAGUUUCGGCGGUUGGGGAUGGACUCGCGGCUUAUCAGCUUGUUGGUGGGGUAGUGGCUUACCAAGGCUUUGACGGGUAGCCGGCCUGAGAGGGUGACCGGCCACAUUGGGACUGAGAUACGGCCCAGACUCCUACGGGAGGCAGCAGUGGGGAAUAUUGCACAAUGGGCGGAAGCCUGAUGCAGCAACGCCGCGUGCGGGAUGACGGCCUUCGGGUUGUAAACCGCUUUCGCCUGUGACGAAGCGUGAGUGACGGUAAUGGGUAAAGAAGCACCGGCUAACUACGUGCCAGCAGCCGCGGUGAUACGUAGGGUGCGAGCGUUGUCCGGAUUUAUUGGGCGUAAAGGGCUCGUAGGUGGUUGAUCGCGUCGGAAGUGUAAUCUUGGGGCUUAACCCUGAGCGUGCUUUCGAUACGGGUUGACUUGAGGAAGGUAGGGGAGAAUGGAAUUCCUGGUGGAGCGGUGGAAUGCGCAGAUAUCAGGAGGAACACCAGUGGCGAAGGCGGUUCUCUGGGCCUUCCCUGACGCUGAGGAGCGAAAGCGUGGGGAGCGAACAGGCUUAGAUACCCUGGUAGUCCACGCUGUAAACGGUGGGUACUAGGUGUGGGGUCCAUUCCACGGGUUCCGUGCCGUAGCUAACGCUUUAAGUACCCCGCCUGGGGAGUACGGCCGCAAGGCUAAAACUCAAAGGAAUUGACGGGGCCCCGCACAAGCGGCGGAGCAUGCGGAUUAAUUCGAUGCAACGCGUAGAACCUUACCUGGGUUUGACAUGGAUCGGGAGUGCUCAGAGAUGGGUGUGCCUCUUUUGGGGUCGGUUCACAGGUGGUGCAUGCCUGUCGUCAGCUCGUGUCGUGAGAUGUUGGGUUAAGUCCCGCAACGAGCGCAACCCUUGUUCACUGUUGCCAGCACGUUAUGGUGGGGACUCAGUGGAGACCGCCGGGGUCAACUCGGAGGAAGGUGGGGAUGACGUCAAGUCCUCAUACCCCUUAUGUCCAGGGCUUCACGCAUGCUACAAUGGCUGGUACAGAGAGUGGCGAGCCUGUGAGGGUGAGCGAAUCUCGGAAAGCCGGUCUCAGUUCGGAUUGGGGUCUGCAACUCGACCUCAUGAAGUCGGAGUCGCUAGUAAUCGCAGAUCAGCAACGCUGCGGUGAAUACGUUCCCGGGGC